GAUGAACGCUGGCGGCGUGCCUAAUACAUGCAAGUCGAGCGAAUGGAUUAAGAGCUUGCUCUUAUGAAGUUAGCGGCGGACGGGUGAGUAACACGUGGGUAACCUGCCCAUAAGACUGGGAUAACUCCGGGAAACCGGGGCUAAUACCGGAUAAUAUUUUGAACUGCAUGGUUCAAAAUUGAAAGGCGGCUUCGGCUGUCACUUAUGGAUGGACCCGCGUCGCAGUAGCUAGUUGGUGAGGUAACGGCUCGCCAAGACAACGAUGCGGAUCCGACCGGAGAGGGUGAUCUGCCAGACUGGGACUGAGGCACGGGCCAGACUCCUCCGGGAGGCAGCAGUAGGGAAUCUUCCGCAAUGGACGAAAGUCUGACGGAGCAACGCCGCGUGAGUGAUGAAGGCUUUCGGGUCGUAAAACUCUGUUGUUAGGGAAGAACAAGAGCUAGUUGAAUAAGCUGACACCUUGACGGUACCUAACCAGAAAGCCACGGCUAACUACGUGCCAGCCGCCGCAGUAA
rnacentral:rRNA from 1 species